ensembl:lncRNA LINC02437 long intergenic non-protein coding RNA 2437
GUUUGCCUGUCUGGCUGCCUUGGGUCUUUGGUUUGCUGAGGGCUGCUUGGAGGCUAUGCCCUCCUCUCCAGCCCCUGCGUUGGGAAGUCACAGGAGACCGGAGCUGCGCACGACAUCACAGCGCCGAAUUCUGACCCAAUCUGAAUCAAAUGUCACCCAUACCCUGUCUUCAACCAACAAAAGAGCAACGAAGCCAGAGACAUCAUCUUCAGCUGCCUUGGCCUGUGUGCCGGGGGUCCCGUCAGCUGCAGGACACGGGAGGGAUGGAGUGAAGCAGAAAGGCCCCGCCGUGACCACACUCAUCCCAGAAGAGCCUCUCUGUUGGCAUGAAAGGAAAUCACAAGGAAAGGGACUUUUCAAGGUCAGACUGCACCAGUGGAAAGUCAGCACCAGCCCCCAGGGCUCGAGGCAGCCUGUGCCCUUUCCACUAACUGUGCCAACUCUCACCAGGGGAAGGCUGACCAGGAACAAAGGCCCUUAGAGGAGAGCAGAACUCCUGCAGCCUGCACUUCCGAGAGAUCCUGCUCCACGGAGCCCGGCUCUACUCCUGCAGGCAGAACCUGCCAGCCCGCAGAUGCUGGGGGCUGAAGGAUCCCGGCGACACCAAGCGUCAGGUCAGGCGUCAGAAUCCAGCGCGUUUGCUCCUCGAGAACAGCGCGCCACCUGCUCCCAAGUGUGUGAGGGGCUGCAGUGCCGAGCUCCACUUCACAAGACUCACUCCUGCCCCGCCACCUCCUGAGCAGACGCAGUCAAGCCCGACCUACCUUUCAACAAACAUGUAUUAGCACUCCCUCCAUGCCAGGCACUGUGCCAGGUGCGAGGGUACCAUGACCAAGCCAAGGCCCCAGGCUCAGAGCACUCACACGCCAGUGGAGGGGGCAGCCCUGUGCGACCCAGCAGGGCACACCCCA